rnacentral:rRNA from 1 species
GAUGAACGCUGGCGGCGUGCCUAAUACAUGCAAGUCGAGCGAACAGACGAGGAGCUUGCUCCUCUGACGUUAGCGGCGGACGGGUGAGUAACACGUGGAUAACCUACCUAUAAGACUGGGAUAACUUCGGGAAACCGGAGCUAAUACCGGAUAAUAUAUUGAACCGCAUGGUUCAAUAGUGAAAGUCGGUUUUGCUGUCACUUAUAGAUGGAUCCGCGCCGCAUUAGCUAGUUGGUAAGGUAACGGCUUACCAAGGCAACGAUGCGUAGCCGACCUGAGAGGGUGAUCGGCCACACUGGAACUGAGACACGGUCCAGACUCCUACGGGAGGCAGCAGUAGGGAAUCUUCCGCAAUGGGCGAAAGCCUGACGGAGCAACGCCGCGUGAGUGAUGAAGGUCUUCAGAUCGUAAAACUCUGUUAUUAGGGAAGAACAAAUGUGUAAGUAACUAUGCACGUCUUGACGGUACCUAAUCAGAAAGCCACGGCUAACUACGUG